rnacentral:misc_RNA from 1 species
GUGCCCUUCAUCAUCCCUAGUCACCCAAUCAUCUGAGUGAAUUUGCUGCUGCAAGUCAGUGUAUAAAUUGACACCAAUAGACAAGUCUUCAGCAAUACAUUUCUCUCUUGGAUUCAGAAUAUUCCCCAACUGAACAAGGAACAAUUGGAUCUUGCAUUUGAGCAGGGGAAUUAGGGAUUACUUCCUCCACAUUGCUUCUGUUAGCAG